AGCCAAUUGCAAAACUUGAGGAAAAUGAAGCUUGGUGAGGUUAUAUAUUUUGUUAGUCGGCUCAUGGGGGCAGAACUCUGGGUUUAGACUCAGGUCUGCCUCACUCCAAACCCUGGUUUUGCACAAACAGGAGUAGAUAUAAGAUUUGCAUAUAAAACAGGCUGAGUCUUAAAUU